AAUUUUGUGUGUGUGUGAUGGAGUCAGGGUUUUGGAACUGUGACCUCUCUUUUUGUGUUUCAGAACUGGUCUCUCCUACUGUGGGUUUUUUUUAAAGAUUGGCACCUGAGCUAACAUCUGUUGCCAAUCUUUUUUUUUUUCCUUCUUCUUCUUCUCCCCAAAGCUCCCCCAGCACAUGGUUGUGUAUUCUAGUUGUGAGUGCCUAUGGUUGUGCUGUGUGGGACGUGCCUCAGCAUGGCUUGAUGAGGGUGCCAUGUCCGCGCACAGGAUCCGAACCAGCGAAACCCUGGGCUGCUGAAGUGGAGCGCGCGAACUUAACUGCUCGGCCACGGGGCUGGCCCCUGUGGCUUUUUCUUUUUACAAAGGUAUUCUUUUACAUUCAGACGUGGAGCACGAACUCUACCAGGUGGUCAAAUUGUCCCUAUUUCCCCCAUCCCCCUCACAAAAGACGUAAAAUCACAAAGAAUCUACCACCAGCACUGCCGCCACCAAGCAACCGGAAUGCCGAGGAGUCUGGAUGACCCAUCCACAGACUUUAGAAUUGCCUCAGCUUGGCCUAAGUGUGUCCUGCCCAGGAAACUCCACACCAGUAGGAUUAUGCCCUAUUGCGUGUUGCUGCAUCCCAGGAUGGAGCCUACGGAGCACGACGACUGUCACAGAGCAGGCGCUCCAUAAAUAUCUGUGGAAUGAAGGAAGCAAGAUGGGAUCCCACCGGCCCCAAGGCUUUGUUGAAUGGAACCGUGAGUGAGAAUGUAAACUCUCGAGCCCAAGGCUUUCCACGGAAUUCCCUUUGGACUGGUUCAUUCUUUUUGCUCAACAUGAGAAAACAGCAGGAGUUAUUGGUUGGACUGCGUGAUGAGCCAGAUUGUCUGGGGGCAAGGCAGGCUGGGUAGGGGAGAGGAAACAACCCUAUGGACUGUGAUAAAGGAAUGUAUGAAGUUUUAUAAAAACAUAGAUAAAUAAU
rnacentral:lncRNA from 1 species